CGUGUUUCGAGUUCCUCCGGAACACCCGGGAUUUUUCGUAUUUAGCCACGCCGGUCACGUGAUAUGAGCAAAAUGUUCCACAGGGGUACUUCCGGUUAAUUUUGUUUACACUGGUAACAAAAUUGUUUUUGACAAAAUAUAGAUUUUGCGGCACAAACUGUCGCAAAUAAGAUAAAGGAUAGCAAGGGAUAUAUAUUUACUUGGGAAGAUGUCAAAGUUUACCUUUUCCCAAACCCGGGAAAAGCGUUCACGCAGAGGAAACGAUGGCGUCAUUUGUGUAGAAAACCACGAGCAGCCGAAAUUGAGUGCGAUUAUUACAUUCCGUGAAAGCUGAACCAACAAAGAAACAUCAUUGUUCUAGCCAGUUUCCUUAUAUUAACUUUUAGGAAAACCAAGAGGUUGAUAACAAUGGCUGAUCUGCAUAUAAUGACUGCUAGUUAUUGGCUGGUAUGCAGUGAAAGGGAGCUAAAAAGGAGUAAAAAGUUCAUAUCAGCCAGGUGAGAAUUAAUUUCUUCUUUUUUGUGUGUUAUACAUAUGUAAUUCUUUUCUUUUGCUGCUUCAAAUCUUGUGUAUUUGAAAAUUUUCAGUCUAAUAUUUUGGCAAUGUUAUAGGUAGUGUGGCUUAAAUAAACCAGUGUUAAGGAAUAUCCAGUAAUGGCAUGACAUCAUGAGAGUUUGGCAUACCGACAUUCAGAUGAUUAAUGAUGAAACUGAAGACCUCAAGUGAAAGGCAUGGAAAAUGAUCCUGUUCCCAUAUACCUGAAAAAGAGGAGGGAUGCCACAAUAUUGAUAAUAGACUUUUGUCAAUUUGAGAAGCAAAGAUGUAAAAAAAAAAAAAAAAAAAAAAAAAAAAAAUAAUAAUAAUGCUGAAAUUAUAAUUCAUGUAUUUGUUAAAAAUACUGUUCACUGUACAUACAUGUAUAUUUUUUUAAAACUUAUUUUUAAAUACAUGAAGUAAUUCAUAUUAAAACUGUGAAUGUAUGAGU